rnacentral:rRNA from 1 species
AUUGAACGCUGGCGGCAGGCCUAACACAUGCAAGUCGAACGAGUGGCGGACGGGUGAGUAAUGUCUGGGAAACUGCCUGAUGGAGGGGGAUAACUACUGGAAACGGUAGCUAAUACCGCAUACCAUCAGAUGUGCCCAGAUGGGAUUAGCUUGUUGGUGGGGUAACGGCUAACCAAGGCGACGAUCCCUAGCUGGUAUGAGAGGAUGACCAGCCCCCCGGGCACUGGACCACGGUCCGGACUCCUACGGGAGGCAGCAGUGGGGAAUAUUGCACAAUGGGCGCAAGCCUGAUGCAGCCAUGCCGCGUGUAUGAAGAGGUCCUUCGGGUUUUAAAGUACUUUCAGCGGGGAGGCGUUACCCGCAGAAGAAGUACCGGCUAACUCCGUGCCAGCAGCCGCGGUAAUAC